GUUUUAGAGUUUGAGAUCCAAAUCACAGAAUGCCUCCCUCUGAAUUGGCUCUUAGACUGCGUGGCAACACUUGCACGAGUAAGUUGCAAUCUUAUUUUGAAUAAAUAUAUAUCAUUCUGCAAAUGUUAUCAUGGUUUACAUUUUAUAAAUUAAUUGUAUUGACAGAGAGUUGUCCAUAAAUUUUGGCAAUCAAUACACAUCCAAACCUCUAGGUUUAUGAUAUGAUGAUAUCAAGAAUACUGGUUUAAACUCUUAUUUAUAGUGAUGGGAACAAUUAUUGCACUUAUAACUAUAAUCCCUUUCACUUUGUCUUUGUCACUGUGUCUAACCACCGGAAAUUAGCGACUCGAUGAAUCUAACAUCCGGCAAAUUGACGGAACAUCAAUAGACAGAAGAAAGAUAGGUUUCUCCUUAUUUUCUUAUUUUUUUAUGAUAUCUGAAGUAUGUAUCAUAUCAAACUAUUUUAUAAUGGUGAGAUGCAAAUUUCUACAACCGUUCUAUAUUGAACUGGAGAAUAAGUCAAAAUGCAUGUCAUAAUGACUAAUUGAUGUGAACUUGCUCGAAAUUGUUUGUUAAUUUCUCUUUAAUUCUUUCACAUCUACCUAUUAAGGAAAGAAAGGUACGGCGAAAUGAUACUGACACAGAGAUGCAAAACUAGUCAGUUAUAACAUCUCAAUUCUUGGUAUUUAUGUUGUAUGGAACAAAAGAAAUGGGUCAUGUUCAAUUAAAAUCAACGGUUUCGGUCAUGUUGUUUACUACAUCAAACCGGUUUCUGUCUAUAUAUAUCACCCGUUUUUUUGUUUUUUUAAACCACACUUUAUGAAAAGCAACGUUAACACGGAUGGAAGAUUGUUUUCGGAGAAUUUAAAUAUUAUUCGAUGUAAUUUAAGUAAACUUGGCGUGUUUAUUUAUUUAAUAGGCAAUUAUGUACUACAAAUUUCUAAUGAAGUCGUAUCAGUUUUCACUGAUCUCAACUAAUUUUAAAUGGCAUAAAAUAACGAAAAUAGCAAACACUGAUAUCUAAUUAUUCUUAGACAUUAACAUUAUGAUAGUUUUUUUAUAUAGGUUUUUGGAGAUACAUCGCAGUUUGUGACCCGCUUUUUUCCCAAGAAACUCUAUUAACGCUUAUUUUUUUUUUAAAACAUCAAUAAAGUAUGCAGAAGUUAGAUUAAAAUUUCUUAAGAAGUGUGUAAAGUUGUAUGCAAUAAUGAUAAAUCAAUUUGAGGAUAUGAAGCGAAUGUUAAAAAAAAAUCACACUCCUGUUCUUUACUUACAAUUCUGUAAUUCAAAAUGAUUUAUUUGAUUUUCACUAAAGGUUACAAAUCGUUUGACCAUUUAAGAAAAACUUUUGUUAAGUUUCCAUGAAAAAUGAUAAGCUUUCAAGUUACGGUGGACAUGUUACGCUGUUUCAGAAAGAUAGACUGAUAGCUAGACGGAGCGGACGGAAAGGAGGAGGACAGACGGGUGUUACAAUGAUAGUCUGUCAAAAUGGACGGGCGAAAAACGCAAACGAAGAUGAAAAAAAAUAGUAAUUAAAUGUCAUAAGUUUAUUAUGAUAGUCGCAAGUCGAUUAUUGUAAAUUUUCGUCUGCUUAUCAUUUUCCUAUCUACCUUUUAUAUAUAUUUUGAGAAAAUGUAUAGAAAUCGAUAAAAGAACGUUGAUAUGCGGCAUUUAUAUAAUAAUAAACAUAAUCCUCACAUAAUCCGAUUUCCCGGUGUGUCCUGUUUUCUCAUUUCUUACAAUAUUUUAAUUCGGUAUACACUUUAUAAGAUAAGUGGCGAAUCUAGAUGACGUAUAGGUUGCACGCCCCGACCCCACCUUCGGUUGCCAAAACUAUAUUGAUUCCUGUAUUUAACGAUUUUGUAAAGCAAAAAAUAAUCAAAAUAUUGUUCGACUCGCUACGCUCGGCGGUAUGUAAAGGUUGUUCGAAAUACGCCCACUUUGAAAUAAACUGAAUCCGUCUGUCCGUAUAUAUUGUCAAAAUAUAUUGACCAACGUCAGUGUACGAUCAUCAUAACACAAUGGCGACAGUACAGACUCGGUUUUUUUAAUAAUGUUAACAAAAUAAUUAUUAUUGAAUUUUAUCGAUGACCUGAGACUAUUAUACUAAUUUGUACAUAGCAGUAUAGUUACAAUUAGUGAUAAAUAAAUUUUAUUUUAAUGCAUGGUAGUUGUAAUCCUACAUUCAUUUUCUAUGUCGAUUAUGCAUGCAUAUACAUUUGUCUUAUUAUCAACGUUUAUCCUUAAGAAGAUUUAUUUUUAACGAUGGUAGAAAAGAUUACAUACAUGGAAUGAUUAGAUUACUUAUAAAGGUGUCCAUUUUUUGUGCGAGAAAAUCACAUAUCAAUUGUGUGUUUCGAUUUUUAAGACCGUAAACUUUAAUUUCAAGUUUAAACAUGUUCAACAUAUUUUCCCAUAACUCAUAUAGAAAACGCAUAUUUAGAGAGCUUUAAUCUCAAUAUGCUGUUAAAAAAGUUCGGAAUGCAAAGUAAAAUUAAAAUAUUUGUGUUCUAUAAGAGUAGGAAUUUGCUUAUUAUUUAUUUGAAUCUGAGACUCAUAUAAAUAAUAAGCCGCUGUCCGGUGAACGAACUUGUUUUCGAACGACCCACAAAACUCAUUUUGAACGCUGAAGUUAAAUAAUCAAUUAUAAUGUAAUGCGAUUAUGAUUUUUUUUAUUUGACCAAACCGGGUUAUGCAUUUUGAAAUCUACGACGAAACCGGGUUGUAUACAUUGACGAAACCGGCCAGUUCCAUUUUGACAUGACCCAUUUCUUUCGUUCCAUACACAGAGUUACAAUUAUUGAGAUGCUCAUAAUAACUAAAUUUGCAAUCUCCGUGUCAAUAUCUAUCUUCCCGUACCUUUCUUUCCGUACAAUGUGAACAAUUUAAAGAGAAAUUAAACAAUUUCGAGGCAAGGUUCACUCAAUUCGUCAUUUUGACGUGCAUUUUUACUUAUUUUUCCAUUAAUAUAGAACGGUUGUAGAAAAUAUUGCAUAUCACAAUAGAAAAUAGUUGUAUGUGUAUUUAUAUUCUUCGAUAUCAUAAAAAAAAUAAGAAAAUAAGGAGAAACCUAGCUUUCUUCUGUCUAUUAAUGUCCGUUUGGUGCGAAUGUUAGAUACAUCGAGUCCGAACAAAUUUUGCGGUUGGUUAGACCAGUUGUUUGUGGAUCGAGUGCUUGCCUUGUAAGUUGUUCGGAUGAUCCUGCUCUUUUUUUAUAAUCUACAACGGGGCUCUCUACAAUGGUCUAUUGGCGGCUUAAGUGUGAGUGCAUUGGAUUGCCAAUCUAUUGAAGCGUGACAGCGUGAAAUCAAAUUAUUGUGCCGUGAAAACAGAAAUGAAGUUGGGACCAGGAUCUACCAAAAAAUGUAGAAUUGCUUAGUCAAGUGAAUUGGGAUCAGGAGAUCUGACAAAACAGUAGAUCCAACCCCCAAUGAGACCCACCUUUUACGUGCAAGAAUAUGACUCUCUCUUAACAAGGUCAGCCGAUUUUUCAUCCCCGUCUGACAGACUAUGACAUUGUUUCUCAAGUUAGCAUACUCGCAAAUUGUUCAAGGAGAGCUGAAAAAUCUCACUUCCUGAAAUUUCUCUCUGGAAUGGGAGUUAACUCAGGAACUUUGUGUUAGUAUUCGAUUGCACUACAUCCAUGAUCUCUCUGACUUUGAAAGUUAAACAUUGAUAAGACGUACCCUACGUCUAGCAGAAGCCUUAGCUCUGUAGGUCCUUUUAUAUUUUUGUGACACUUUGUCGUGUAAAUAAAAAAAAUAGAAUAAGCCAUAGAGUGAGGUUGCCAGCGUUCGAUAGUGAGUACGCCUCUGUUCUAUUUUACGGUACCAUUUCUGCAAUUUCCUGAGGAUUGCAAGAAUAUUAGUAAUAUCCUAGGACAAAUUGAUUUGUCCGAACAUUAUGUUUUAUACUACUUAAAUAAUAUUUAAAGUAUAUAAUAUUUAACAUUAUUAUGGUAUUGCUCAAUAAAAGAGCAAUUUUAACUCAGGAAAUGAUAAGCUGGUCUUAGUUGCAUAUGUCGCAAUAUUAAAAGUACUUAAAUUGUUACAUCGAUGAAACUAUUUUGGUUAAUCGCUAAACGUCAGAACUCAAGUAAAGAGUAAAUACAACUAAAAAUAUGUUUUGACAUACGUUUCUUAAGUACUAUGAAGAUUGCAUUAUGUCUAGUAAUCCUCGGAAAUUGUUCUCAUGGUUCCAUUGUUAUAGUCACAUUUGUCCUGGGUCUGCUUCUUUCUAACAUCUGUUAAUAUAUUCUAUCGAUUAUGAAGAUGUGAUUAUGUAUUGCUUGAUAAGAAUCACAUUUACAACAAAUGAUAAUUGCAAGUUCCCAAAUUCCUAAUAUCACAUUUAUUUUUUUUACUAAUUUUAUUGAAAUUGUUUUUGUGGAGAAUGUAAGCAAUGUAUUGUUGUUUGUUAAUGGAUAGAGCAUCUACGAUUACUAUAAAUCGAUAGAAUAAUUUAGAAAUAUUUCAAUAGAUGACGAACAUUAUAACACGUUAUGUCAAUAAUCGCUGUAGCAGCACUGUUAGUUUAGUCACUAGUGAGAAUUUCAGAUAUUGAAUUGGUCGUUAAGGAUAGGUUUUCUUUUUAUAAAUGCACACUAGAACUAAUUUUUGUUCUAGUAUUUAACGAACUAAAAUUAAAUAAAGUUGCAAGGAACUGUACUUUUGUCUACAUUUACAAUUUGCUUUGUGCCAUUUAAUAGCAAUAAUUGACAACACUAUUUUGUAUGAGUCGAGGUCGUGAAUUAUGAUUUGUUAAAUAAGCAGUGAAACUUUUUCUCACUGAACUUUGUAAUUACAUUGCACACAAUAUAUGAUAAGUAUGUAACUUAUUCUUUUGAUUUUUAUCACCUGAACAACUGAGCAUACAGAAAUAUGAUUUUGUCUAUUUAUUUUAGCCUGAAGUAGCACAAGCAUUAAGAAGGCUGCCAAAAUUUGUUGGCGCAUGUUCAGUUGUCCGUAAAAUGAAAAUCUGGCAAAGAGAACUUCCUUAUACAUGUCGUGACAUAAUACCAUUCACAAAGAGGACAGUAGUUUGUUUCUAUUCAGAAAAAUCUAUGAAUGCAUUAUUGUACACAAAAACAUUGUGAAACAAUGACAUACUUUGAGCGGGAAAUUAAUAUAUUGGGACUUUUAACUAUAGAUUUGUUUGAAGUUUUAUGCAUUUAUAUAAUACAUUUUGUAAUACUAAAUAGUGGGGCAUUAUUUAUUUUUUUCUAUUUUUCUGGUCUGUGCAUCUGAUCAAAUAAAAGACUAAAUGAAUUCAAAAUCAUUGUUACAAUGGUUAAGAUAUAUCUUGCAAGGAGAAAAAUUCUUUUCAACAAUUUUUUUUUAUAUUUAGAGAUUUUUAUGACGACCGCAAAAAAUUUUAAUUUUGAUGGUCGUAUAUUUGCUAUCACCGUUGCGCCGUCGUCUGCGUCGUCGUCGUCGUCGUCCGAAUACUUUAUAGUUUUCGGCACUCUAACUUUAUUAAAACGUGAAGAAAUCAUAUUUAACACAAGGUUAUGACCACCAAAAAGAAGGUUGUGAAUUUGUUAUUUUGGGGAGUGUUGGUCCCAACACUUUUAGGAAUUAGGGGCUCAAAAAGGGCCCAAUAGCAUUUUCUUGCCGUUUUCGCAGUAUAACAACUUUAGUUUAAGUGAAUAGAAAAUGCUAUGAAAUUUUUGACACAAUGUUUAUGACCACAAAAAGGAGGUUGGGAUGUAUGAUUUUGGGAGUGUUUUUGCAACAGUUUAAGGGAAUAAUAAGGGCCAGAGAAAGCGCCAAAUAAGCAUUAUUCUUGUUUUCGCACAAUAAACUUAGUAUCUAAUAAAUUAGAAUAAUGAAAAAAUUUUAAACAAGGUUUGAGUGACCACAAAAGGAAAGUUGGGAUGAUUUUUGAGGAGUUGAGUCACAACAGUUUAUGAAUUUAGGCAGGCCAUAAAAGUGGGCCUCAAAUAGCAUUAUUUUUGGUUUUUUGCACCAUAACUUUGGUAUAAGUGUAAUAGAAAUCUAUGAAAUUAACACAAAGUUUAUGAACCAUAAAAGGAGGUUGGGUUGAUAUUUGUGACAUUUUGGGUCCUAAAGUUUUAGAAGAAAAGGGCCAAAGGGUCCAAAAGUUGGAACUUUGGUGUGUUAUCAAAAAUUGAAUACUUGGGGUUCUUUGAUAUGCCGAAUCUAACUGUGUAUGUAGAUUCUUAAUUUUUGGUUCCGUUUUCAAAUUGGUCUACUUUAAGGUCCAAAGGGUCCAAAUAAACUUAGUUUGAUUUUAACAAAAAUUGAAUCCUUUGGGUUCUUUGAUAUGCUGAAUCUAAAAAUGUACUUAGAUUUUUGAUUAUUGGCCCAGUUUUCAAGUUGGUCCAAAUCAAACUUUGUUGAUUUCAUCAAAAAUUGAAUAAAUGGGUUCUUUGAUAUUUAAAUCUAACUGUGUAUGUAGAUUCUUAAUUUUGGUCCAGUUUUCAAAUUGGUCUACAUUAAGGUCCAAAGGGUCCAAAAUUAACUAAGUUUGAUUUUUUAACAAAAAUUAAAUUCUUGGGCUUAUUUGAUAUGCUUUUAUUUAAAUAUGUAUUUUGAUUUUUGAUUAUGGGCCAGUAUUCAGUUGGUCCAAAUCAGGAUUCCAUUCAAGUAUUGUGCAAUAGCAAGAAAUUUUCAAUUGCACAGUAUUGCACAAUAGCAAGAAAUAUCUAAUUGCACAAUAUUGUGCACUGGUAAUUAAUUUUCAAUUGGAGUUAUCUUUCUUUGUAUAGAAUAUUUGUUGAUAAUAUAUGUUGGAAAUUUGCCAGACAUGACUAGGAUGUCAUUUUCUAUUUUUAUUUGCCAUAUAACUUUAUGUAAAUAACUUCAUUGGAAAUUUGCCAAUAUAAAUGUUGCUGAUGAAGUUUUUUUUAUUGUUUUAUACAAUAAACCAAUGUAUUCACUUUUACUACCAACCAAUCUUUACCAUUCAGUGAUAACAAGCACUUUAUUUUACAUUUUAAUAUUUUAUAGAUGUAUUUAAAAGAGUAGUAUUGUUGCAAACUCCAUUAGAAAUUUGAAUUUGAUUAUCAGUUUUGGAAAAAGGGAAACAGGGAUGUGAAAAAUAAGGGGGGUUUUAAUUUUUCUCAUUUCAGAUUCAUAAAUAAAAGAAAAAUUUCUUCAAACAUUUUUUUGAGAGGAUUAAAUUCAACAGAAUAGUGAAUUGCUGCAAAGGCAAAAAAACUUUAAGUUCAUAUUAGAACCAUUCAUCUGUGUCAGAAACCUAUGCUGUGUCAACUAUUUUAAUUUUAAUUUAAAAAGUUUGAAGAAGAAAUCUUUAAUGAUUUUAUAAAUCUUGACAUUUGUUUGUGUAAAAAAAAACCAUGAAAUGUCAAAAAAUUUGAUCACAAUCCAAAUUCAGAGCUGUAUCACGCUUGAAUGUUUUGUCCAUACUUGCCCCAACUGUUCAGGUUGACUCUGUGCGGUCGUAUAAAGCUGCGCCUGCGGAGCACUGGUUAAGUCUGUACUGAGACUAAAUAUGAGCAUAAGAAAUAAUUACACAAAGAAGUCUUAACACCUGUUGACUGCUGCAUAUUGUACUGUGAGCAGUUAUCUGGUUUAUUUCACUUGAGAAUAGUUGUGAUAUCUUUUUCUAGAUAGAGAAAUAUAUUGAUUAGAACAAUAAGUAUAUAUACCUACAUUGUUUAUUUCAGUUAUUUUCUGGUAAACUUUGAUUCCCCUGUUGAAUCUUUGAAACCAAUCAAACAAGGAUUUAAAGAGCACAGAGAUGUUGUUAGAGCUGGCUUAGAAAGAACUGACCAAGAAUUAAAAAAACCUUGCCUUGAUGGACCUUGUCAGUUUGGUGAAAUUCCAGACCCUUUACACGAAAAGCGUAUUUAUAGACAAAAAGUGACAAAGAGAUUGGCAAAAACAUAUGGAAAAUUCUCAUUAAAUUUAAAGUGGAAAUAAAUGUAAAUAAAUUAGAUUGAGUUUGCA
rnacentral:lncRNA from 1 species